UGGGGAAUAUUGCACAAUGGGCGCAAGCCUGAUGCAGCCAUGCCGCGUGUAUGAAGAAGGCCUUCGGGUUGUAAAGUACUUUCAGCGGGGAGGAAGGGAGUAAAGUUAAUACCUUUGCUCAUUGACGUUACCCGCAGAAGAAGCACCGGCUAACUCCGUGCCAGCAGCCGCGGUAAUACGGAGGGUGCAAGCGUUAAUCGGAAUUACUGGGCGUAAAGCGCACGCAGGCGGUUUUUUAAGUCAGAUGUGAAAUCCCCGGGCUCAACCUGGGAACUGCAUCUGAUACUGGCAAGCUUGAGUCUCGUAGAGGGGGGUAGAAUUCCAGGUGUAGCGGUGAAAUGCGUAGAGAUCUGGAGGAAUACCGGUGGCGAAGGCGGCCCCCUGGACGAAGACUGACGCUCAGGUGCGAAAGCGUGGGGAGCAAACA
rnacentral:rRNA from 1 species